rfam:Zootermopsis nevadensis contig13046, whole genome shotgun sequence.
GCCACGGUGGUCUAGCGGUUAGACCGCUGGCCUUGUAAUCCUGGGGUCUCGGGUUCGAUUCCCGGCGGUGCCC